UAUGACCGUGUCCUGGAUAUCCUUGGCUCAUUUCAUUUGAAAAUGGCCACGACCUAUGCACGGGGCAUACACCUGACAGAUGCAAAUUCUAAAAUAUAAACCCACAUGUUGGGGAUAACUCCUUUGUGGGUUCUAUAAGGGGUGAGUCGGUUAAUCAUGACCGGCUUCCAAACUGGCCCCAAUUGUAAGACAAACAUGUAAAUCUGUAUACAAGAUUAUCUUUAAAUAAUUGUCCCAAGUUAUAAAUGAUUUGUGCUUUGUGCACCAAAAUCAAUUUUCGUAAAUGUU
rnacentral:lncRNA from 1 species